CCUACGGGAGGCAGCAGUGAGGAAUAUUGGUCAAUGGGCGCGAGCCUGAACCAGCCAAGUAGCGUGCAGGAUGACUGCCCUACGGGUUGUAAACUUCUUUUAUGCAGGGAUAAAGUGCGGCACGUGUGCCUUUUUGUAUGUACUUUAUGAAUAAGGAUCGGCUAACUCCGUGCCAGCAGCCGCGGUAAUACGGAGGAUCCGAGCGUUAUCCGGAUUUAUUGGGUUUAAAGGGAGCGUAGAUGGGGUGUUAAGUCAGGUGUGAAAGGUUGCGGCUCAACCGUGAAAUUGCAACUGAUACUGGCAGCCUUGAGUACAGUUGAGGUAGGCGGAAUUCGUGGUGUAGCGGUGAAAUGCUUAGAUAUCACGAAGAACUCCGAUUGCGAAGGCAGCUUACGAAACUGCCACUGACAUUGAUGCUCGAAAGUGUGGGUAUCAAACAGGAUUAGAUACCCGGGUAGUC
rnacentral:rRNA from 1 species